UCUGGGCAUGGUGGCACAUGCCUAUAAUCCCAGCAACUCAGGAGGCUGAGGCAGUAGGAUUGCAAGUUUGAGGCCAGCUUCAGCAAUUUAUUGAGGCCUCAAGAAAUUUAGCAAGGCCCUGUCUCAA
rnacentral:sRNA from 1 species